rnacentral:lncRNA from 1 species
UUAGCCGGAAAGAACGUCAAAGAACGUUCGAGCUAAACCAGCUAGGUGAGCUGGACAAGCUGAAUGAACAAGCUAGCUCAGCUAGGUGAGCUAAACCAGCUGGAGGACUAGCUAGCUCAGCUAGGUGAGCUGACCGGCAGCUCAACCGAGCUCGGUGAACUGAUCGAGUACUGACCCAGCUGGGUGGUCUGGUCAGCUGACACUCGAGCUGGUGGACUGUCGUAGCUCGGGGAUGAAGAGGUGUCUCGGCCA